UUCAGACAGGUAGGAGGAGGAGUUCAGACAGGUAGGAGGGAGGAGUUCAGACAGGUAGGAGGGAGGAGGAGGUCAGACAGGUAGGAGGGAGGAGUUCAGACAGGUAGGAGGGAGGAGUUCAGACAGGUAGGAGGAGGAGUUCAGAAUGGUAGGGGGAGGAGGUCAGACAGGUAGGAGGGAGGAGUUCAGACAGGUAGGAGGGAGGAGGAGGUCAGACAGGUAGGAGGGAGGAGUUCAGACAGGUAGGAGGAGGAGUUCAGACAGGUAGGGAGGAGGAGGUCAGACAGGUAGGAGGGAGGAGUUCAGACAGGUAGGAGGAGGAGCUCAGACAGGUAGGAGGGAGGAGUUCAGACAGGUAGGAGGAGGAGCUCAGACAGGUAGGAGGGAAGAGUUCAGACAGGUAGGAGGGAGGAGUUCAGACAGGUAGGAGGAGGAGCUCAGACAGGUAGGUGGGAGGAGUUCAGACAGGUAGGAGGGAGGAGGUCAGACAGGUAGGAGGAGGAGCUCAGACAGGUAGGUGGGAGGAGUUCAGACAGGUAGGAGGGAGGAGUUCAGACAGGUAGGAGGAGGAGGUCAGACAGGUAGGUGGGAGGAGUUCAGACAGGUAGGAGGGAGGAGGU